UGGGGAAUAUUGCACAAUGGGCGAAAGCCUGAUGCAGCGACGCCGCGUGAGGGAUGACGGCCUUCGGGUUGUAAACCUCUUUCAGCAGGGACGAAGCGCAAGUGACGGUACCUGCAGAAGAAGCACCGGCUAACUACGUGCCAGCAGCCGCGGUAAUACGUAGGGUGCAAGCGUUGUCCGGAAUUACUGGGCGUAAAGAAUUCGUAGGCGGUUUGUCGCGUCGUUUGUGAAAACCAGCAGCUCAACUGCUGGCUUGCAGGCGAUACGGGCAGACUUGAGUACUGCAGGGGAGACUGGAAUUCCUGGUGUAGCGGUGAAAUGCGCAGAUAUCAGGAGGAACACCGGUGGCGAAGGCGGGUCUCUGGGCAGUAACUGACGCUGAGGAACGAAAGCGUGGGUAGCGAACAGG
rnacentral:rRNA from 1 species